GUUCCUGCAGCAACGCCACAGCUUUCUGCUUUGAGAAUGGUGAUGCAGUUCUGAAGCAGUUAUCUCUAGGACAGGGCUUGGAUCAGAUCUGCUUUGACUUUGGAAUCUUGCUGGCAUUGUUCUUCGCCUUCUUCAUUUCCGGACUUCUGAUACUGGUGUUGCGUAUCCGCUGCAUCAAGCGCUAAUGUCUGCCAGGCGCAAUGCGUUGACGUGUCACUCUAAGGUGCUAAACCUGACUUCAUGAUGGUGUUGUUCUAGUGUUGAGAUGAUUCAGUAUUCCGCUAUGUUUGUCAGUGUCUUUCAUGUUGCUAUUUUGUUAGUCAUACAGCCCAUAUACACUCGUUAAUGUCAACUUCAAUAGUGGACAUUCCCAGACAAGUAUUCUGCCUGUCACGUGUGUGUGUGUGUGUGUGUGUGUGUGUGUGUGUGUGUGUGUGUAUGUGUGUGUGUGUGUGUGUGUAUGUGUGUGUAUGCGUGUGAGGUCAAUUUAGUUCUUGUUUAUCUGUUGUUGUGGUGUGUUGUGUGCCGUGGUCAAGUGUGUGUGUUUUCCAUCACGUUCAUAUCUGCACUGAGUGUAUAGUGUAUAUGUAUGCUGGUAUGUAGCUGCUGGGUGAGACUAUAGUUAUGUUUUGAGAUUCUAGUUUAGAUCAUUUUAUGUGCAGGCUGAUUAGAAUGGGUCAUGUGAAUUUCAGUACACUUGCAAACACUACAUAUAUUGUUACUAGUAAACAGUGCUCUCUUUGUCAUCUCCAACAACUGCUGCUAUUAUGCAGUGUAUGGCAUGUCAGUGACUCAGUUGUUUUUUAUAGUUUUUCAGUGUCUGCUGUUUUAUUUUUGUUGCUAAAGUAAUGCAGGGUUUAUACAAACACUGACUGUUGUGUCAUGGCUACAAGUGAGAAGAUCUUCAACCCUGCUGA